GGUGAGUAACGCGUUGGUGACCUGCCCCAAAGUGUGGGAUAACAGUUCGAAAGGAUUGCUAAUACCGCAUGUGGUCAUUGGAUCUAGAAACCGAUGACUAAAGCAGUAAUGCGCUUUGGGAGGGGCCUGCGUCCCAUCAGCUAGUUGGUAGGGUAAUGGCCUACCAGGGCGACGACGGGUAGGGGACCUGAGAGGGUGGCCCCCCACAAUGGAACUGAAACACGGUCCAUACACCUACGGGUGGCAGCAGUAGGGAAUAUUGCUCAAUGGGCGAAAGCCUGAAGCAGCAACGCCGCGUGUGCGAUGAAGGUCUUCGGAUCGUAAAGCACUUUUCUGAGAGAUGAGAAAGGACAGUAUCUCAGGAAUAAGUCUCGGCUAACUACGUGCCAGCAGCCGCGGUAACACGUAGGAGGCGAGCGUUAUCCGGAUUCACUGGGCGUAAAGCGCGUGCAGGCGGUUUGGUAAGUUGGGCGUGAAAGCUCCCGGCUCAACUGGGAGAGGUCGUUCAAUACUACCAGACUAGAGAGCAGAAGAGGAAGAUGGAAUUCCCGGUGUAGUGGUGAAAUGCGUAGAUAUCGGGAGGAACACCAGUGGCGAAGGCGAUCUUCUGGUCUGUUUCUGACGCUCAGACGCGACAGCUAGGGUAGUAAACGGGAUUAGAGACCCCGGGUAAUCCUAGCCCGUAAACGAUGUGAACUUUGGCGUUGGUGGCUUAAACACCAUCAGUGCCGAAGCAAACGCGAUUAGUUCACCAGCCUGGGGACUACAGCCGCAAGGAUGA
rnacentral:rRNA from 1 species